UUAUACGACCGUACCGCAAACCGACACUGGUGCGCGAGAUGAGUAUUCUAAGGCGCUUGAGAGAACUCAGGAGAAGGAACUCGGCAAAUUGACACCGUAACUUCGGAAGAAGGUGUGCCCUAUUAGUGUGUAGUGAACAACGAAGCAUGAAUGGGUUGCAAAAAAUCGGUGGCUGCGACUGUUUAUUAAAAACACAGCACUCUGCAAACACGAAAGUGGACGUAUAGGGUGUGACGCCUGCCCGGUGCUGGAAGAUUAAAUGAUGGGGUGCAAGCUCUUGAUUGAAGUCCCAGUAAACGGCGGCCGUAACGAUAACGGUCCUAAGGUAGCGAAAUUCCUUGUCGGGUAAGUUCCGACCUGCACGAAUGGCGUAACGAUGGCCACACUGUCUCCUCCUGAGACUCAGCGAAGUUGAAAUGUUUGUGAUGAUGCAAUCUCCCCGCGGAAAGACGGAAAGACCCCAUGAACCUUUACUGUAGCUUUGUAUUGGACUUUGAACAGAUCUGUGUAGGAUAGGUGGGAGGCUUUGAAGCAGGGUCGCUAGAUCUUGUGGAGCCAACGUUGAAAUACCACCCUGGUGUGUUUGAGGUUCUAACCUAGGUCCAUUAUCUGGAUCGGGGACAGUGCAUGGUAGGCAGUUUGACUGGGGCGGUCUCCUCCCAAAGCGUAACGGAGGAGUUCGAAGGUACGCUAGUUACGGUCGGACAUCGUGACGAUAGUGCAAUGGCAUAAGCGUGCUUAACUGCGAGACUGACAAGUCGAGCAGAUGCGAAAGCAGGACAUAGUGAUCCGGUGGUUCUGUAUGGAAGGGCCAUCGCUCAACGGAUAAAAGGUACUCUGGGGAUAACAGGCUGAUACCGCCCAAGAGUUCAUAUCGACGGCGGUGUUUGGCACCUCGAUGUCGGCUCAUCUCAUCCUGGGGCUGUAGCCGGUCCCAAGGGUAUGGCUGUUCGCCAUUUAAAGAGGUACGUGAGCUGGGUUUAAAACGUCGUGAGACAGUUUGGUCCCUAUCUUCCGUGGGCGCUGCAGAUUUGAGGAAGCCUGCUCCUAGUACGAGAGGACCGGAGUGGACACACCUCUGGUGUAUCGGUUGUCACGCCAGUGGCAUUGCCGAGUAGCUAAGUGUGGAAGAGAUAACCGCUGAAAGCAUCUAAGCGGGAAACUCGUUUCAAGAUGAGAUCUGCCGGGGCCUUGAGCCCCCUAAAGAGUCGCC
rnacentral:rRNA from 1 species